GUCGAGAAUCUUCCGCAAUGCGCGAAAGCGUGACGGAGCGACACCGCGUGAUGGAUGAAGUCCUUCGGGGCGUAAACAUCUUUUAUAAAGGAGGAAAUUUUUGACGUUACUUUAUGAAUAAGGGGCUCCCAAUCUCGUGCCAGCAGGAGCGGUAAUACGAGAGCCUCAAGCGUUAUCCGGAAUCAUUGGGCGUAAAGGGUGCGUAGGUGGUUUGAUUAGUCUCCCGUUAAAACUUCGAGCUUAACUCGAAAAGAGCGGGGGAAACGGUCAAACUAGAGUAUGUGAGAGGUGUGUGGAACUCAUGGUGUAGGGGUGAAAUCCGUUGAUAUCAUGGGGAACACCAAAAGCGAAGGCAGCACACUGGCACAUCACUGACACUGAGGCACGAAACCUAAGGUAGCGAAUGGGAUUAGAAACCCUAGUAGUCA
rnacentral:rRNA from 1 species